rnacentral:lncRNA from 1 species
AUGAAGGCCUAUGAUGUGGAACUGGAAAAUCUAGAAAAGAUGAGGAAUGAACUAGAAAAUGAGAGGGCUAAACUUGACGAAAAGCUCCAUGAUGCCACAAAAGCAGAGAAGAAACUACAGGAAAUGAAGAGUGUACUAAACAAAGAAAAAGAGCAAGUGGAAGUAAUGAAGCAGAUGGUCAUCACAGAGAGACAUUUAAUUGAACAAGAGAAUGCUGAGCUUCAGAAGAAGUCAGAGAUCACUGACAGACUCAUUCAGGAAACAAACAAUGAGAGAGACAGAUUAACAGACCUCAGUCUAAAACUUCAAAUGCAAAGAGAAGAUAUAGAGAAUAUCAUCACAGAAAUAGAGACCAAGAAGAAAAAUCUAAAUAUAAUGAGUGCAGAACUUCAAGAUGAUAAGAUACGACUGAAAAAUGACAGGGAUGUUUAUGAAAGGGAAAUGACACAUCUGCAGCUUAAGAGGGAAGAGUUAGUGAUGGAAACAGAGGACCUGGAAAGAAAAACCUUACAGCAGAAAGAACAAGAUGAGAUGGCGAAACGAGAGAUUCAAAAUCAGAAAGAGGCUCUAGAGCAAAUGAAGGUGGACAUUCUGAAGGAAAGAGAGGAUUUUGACAAAGAGAAGAAAAAUGUACAUUCAGAAAAACAGAAACUGGAUACACAACAAGGAGAACUGCAAAGAAAGGAAUGUGAGCUUGAAAAUAGAGUAAAAACUUUCAUGGAAGAGCAGCAGCAGCUGAAACAGACUCAAGAUGAAAUAUAUAAAAUCAAGAAGGAGAUUCAAAGCAAUCUGGAAAUAAAGGAGGCUGAAAUUCAAGAGGAGAGACAGAGAUUAAUGGAAAUGGGUGAAACAAUGACAAGAGAAUGCAAUGAAUACAGAAAGCUGAUUGAAGAAGUGCAGAAAGAAAAAGAGCAGAUUGAAAUCAGCAAAAAGUUGAUGGAUCAAGAGAAGGAUGAUCUUAAAAACAUGAAAAAUGAUCUGGAGAUGCAAUUGCAAAAUCUAAGACAUGACAAACUGAAUUUAGAAGAUGAGAUGAAAGCACUAGAACAGAUAAGGGCAGAAUCCAAAGAGAUUCAAAAUGUUAUCAAGAAGGAAAGACAGGAUCAUGAGAAAUGCUGGGAGGAGAUUGAGGGUGAAAAGGAAAGAGUGGAGGAAGAAAUCAGACAAUUAGAGAGACAGAGGGAAGAAACAUAUAAACUUCACAGCGAGUUGCAAAUAAUUAGAGAUGACACUGAAAGUAGGAAAGAAAAGAUUGAUAAAGAAAUUAAAGAAUUGUUGCAAAUGAGGAUUGAACUGGAGAGAACAAAAGUGGAAAUUAAAAAGGAUAAUCAACAACUUCAAGAUGAUAAAUUUAACCUUGAAAAGACAAAAGCUGAGAUAAAGAUACAGACAGAUAAAUUGAUACUUAUAGACACUAAUUUAAAGGAGAAAGAAAGAGAAAUGAAAAUCCAACUAGAUAAAGACAGAGAAGAAAUUAAAUGUUUGUCUGAAGAGACUGAAAUGAAAAUGAGGGACCUUGAUAUGACGAUGAAGGUGAUGGAGAGACAAAAGCAAGAAAUUGAGAAAACAAAAGUGAUGCUUGAAAAGGAAAAGACAGAAAUUGAUAAAGAAAAGAAAGACUUGGAAAACCAAAUGAUGGACCAGACUGAGCAGAUAGAAAAGGACAGACUGGCCCUUGAGGAGAUGAAGGAAGAACUUCUUCAUGAAAAACAAGAAAUGGAGGAAGAGAGGAAUAACUUGAUGGCUUUAAGCAACAAACUAGAAGUUUUAAGAGCAGAGACAAGGAACAAGCAAAAUGAAAAUGAGAUUUUGAAGAAGAAACUUAUUUUGGAAAAAUCAAACAUAGAGGAAUUGCAGGUUGAGGUACUUAACCAGCAGCGACAGAAUGAUCAAACCAGUGAGGAAAACAAGAAAGAGAGAGAAGAUCUGGAAAAACAGAGGUUUGAAACUGAACAGCAGAAAAAGAUGUUGGAGCUUAGCAUCAUAAAAAUUAACGAGGAGAAGCAAAAAACUUCAGAAAGCCAAAAGAAGAAAUGGAAAAACAUAAAAAUAUAUGACCAAACAAAGAAAGAGACAAGGUUGAACAAAUGCAAGCUGAGAUACACAGUCAGAUUCAGUCGACUGAACUACAAAUGCAAACUCAUGCAAAGACAAGCAGGAUGCUCUUGA